AUAUCAAUAAGCGGAGGAAAAGAAACCAACAGGGAUUGCCCUAGUAACGGCGAGUGAAGCGGCAACAGCUCAAAUUUGAAAUCUGGCUCUUUUAGAGUCCGAGUUGUAAUUUGCAGAGGGCGCUUUGGCUUUGGCAGCGGUCCAAGUUCCUUGGAACAGGACGUCACAGAGGGUGAGAAUCCCGUACGUGGUCGCUGGCUAUUGCCGUGUAAAGCCCCUUCGACGAGUCGAGUUGUUUGGGAAUGCAGCUCUAAAUGGGAGGUACAUUUCUUCUAAAGCUAAAUAUUGGCCAGAGACCGAUAGCGCACAAGUAGAGUGAUCGAAAGAUGAAAAGCACUUUGGAAAGAGAGUCAAACAGCACGUGAAAUUGUUGAAAGGGAAGCGCUUGCAGCCAGACUUGCUUACAGUUGCUCAUCCGGGUUUCUACCCGGUGCACUCUUCUGUAGGCAGGCCAGCAUCAGUUUGGGCGGUAGGAUAAAGGUCUCUGUCACGUACCUCCUUUCGGGGAGGCCUUAUAGGGGAGACGACAUACUACCAGCCUGGACUGAGGUCCGCGCAUCUGCUAGGAUGCUGGCGUAAUGGCUGUAAGCGGCCCGUCU
rnacentral:rRNA from 1 species